UUAAGAUCACCUGCUCACAAUAGUUCAGACUACUCUUUUUUUCUGAUCACAACCAUUGAGCAACCGUUGAGAAAGAGAAUACAGUUUGGAUUAUUGACUUUCUUAAUAGAGAUAUUCUAUCAUGAAAAUGCCUGGCUGUGAUUUGCCAGCCACCAUUGUGCAAUGUGCACUUGAGCUUCGUGAAGUUGGAGACAGACUUUACUGGAAAUACAAACUUGUAGAACUUUUACUCUACUACAACAAUGUGACUCAUAUCAAAUGAACUAUCAUGGACACCGUGAGGGGAAAAAAAAAAAAGCCAAGUGGCCUAAAAAAUACCACUGAAAGGCACAAUGGACGGGCCUGGUUCAAAUCUGGACUCUGUACUGGUGCCGGUAUGAAGGAGCUCCAGCAGAAGCCUGAGGACAGAUCCUAGAGGAUGUAAGCAGCCAGAGAACUACUCGUGUUUCCUGGGAGACAAGAUUUAAAAUGCUGAAGUCACCAAAAACAUGGAAAUGGAAACUAAGAGGAAGUUGGCUGAAGAAACCUAUUUUAUCAGAAUCAAUAGGAUUAAACAAAAUAGUUUAAUAUGUUGCUGAAUUACAUGUGGAGAAUAAUAAAAGAUUGGCGAUUAUUGAAAAUA